rnacentral:lncRNA from 1 species
CCCUAAAGUGCUCCGCACUUAUCAUCAAGGCGCUCGAAGAACAAGAGAAAGAAGACUUCUCCUUGGCGCGAGCGCGCGCUCAAUAUGCUACAGAUGGCUAUGACAUUCGUGGUUUUGAGCGUCUUAAGCCAAGCUACGACAGCCUGGGCCCCUAAAGUGCUCCGCACUUA